rnacentral:rRNA from 1 species
UGGUGGAGUGAUUUGUCUGGUUAAUUCCGUUAACGAACGAGACCCCUGCCUGCUAAAUAGUCCAGUGAGUGAAUUUUCACUGACUGCUGGCUUCUUAGAGGGACGUGCAUUCUAUUAGAUGCAGGAAGAUAGGGGCAAUAACA